UACAGAGGUCUCAAGCGUUGUUCGGAUUCAUUGGGCGUAAAGGGUGCGUAGGUGGCGCGGUAAGUUGGGUGUGAAAUCUCGGAGCUUAACUCCGAAACUGCAUUCGAUACUGCCGUGCUUGAGGACUGGAGAGGAGACUGGAAUUUACGGUGUAGCGGUGAAAUGCGUAGAUAUCGUAAGGAAGACCAGUGGCGAAGGCGGGUCUCUGGACAGUUCCUGACACUGAGGCACGAAGGCCAGGGGAGCAAACGGG
rnacentral:rRNA from 1 species